rnacentral:piRNA from 1 species
UGCGAGUUUUUUGCCCAAUAA